CAACGCNCGGCGGCGUGCCUCAGACAUGCAAGUCGAACGAUUAAAGCUCUCUUCGGAGAGUGUAUAGAGUGGCGCACGGGUGAGUAACACGUAAGUAAUCUACCUUCGAGUGGGGAAUAACAGUCGGAAACGACUGCUAAUACCGCAUAAUGCAGCGGCAUCGCAAGAUGACAGUUGUUAAAGGAGCAAUUCGCUUGAAGAGGAGCUUGCGGCAGAUUAGCUAGUUGGUAAGGUAAUGGCUUACCAAGGCUACGAUCUGUAACCGGUCUAAGAGGACGGUCGGUCACACUGACACUGAAUAACGGGUCAGACUCCUACGGGAGGCAGCAGUCGGGAAUUUUGGGCAAUGGGCGAAAGCCUGACCCAGCAACGCCGCGUGAAGGAUGAAGUAUUUCGGUAUGUAAACUUCGAAAGAAUAGGAAGAAUAAAUGACGGUACUAUUUAUAAGGUCCGGCUAACUACGUGCCAGCAGCCGCGGUAAUACGUAGGGACCAAGCGUUGUUCGGAUUUACUGGGCGUAAAGGGCGCGUAGGCGGCUUGUCAAGUCACUUGUGAAAUCUCCGGGCUUAACUCGGAACGGCCAAGUGAAACUGACAUGCUAGAGUGCAGAAGGGGCAAUCGGAAUUCUUGGUGUAGCGGUGAAAUGCGUAGAUAUCAAGAGGAACACCUGAGGUGAAGACGGGUUGCCUGGGCUGACACUGACGCUGAGGCCGCGAAAGCCAGGGGAGCAAACGGGAUUAGGAUACCCCGGUAGUCCUGGCCCCUAAACGAUGAAUACUUGGUGUCUGGAGUCAUUAUUGCUCCGGGUGCCGGUCGCUAACGUUUUUAGUAUCCGGCUUGGGGGA
rnacentral:rRNA from 1 species